GACGAACGCUGGCGGCGUGCUUAACACAUGCAAGUCGAACGGAAAGGCCCCUUUGUGGGUACUCGAGUGGCGAACGGGUGAGUAACACGUGAGUAACCUGCCCUUGACUUCGGGAUAACUUCAGGUAACUGGGGCUAAUACCGGAUAGGAAUCCUUGCUGCAUGGUGGGGGUUGGAAAGCUUCGGCGGUUUUGGAUGGACUUGCGGCUUAUCAGCUUGUUGGUGGGGUAGUGGCUUACCAAGGCUUUGACGGGUAGCCGGCCUGAGAGGGCGACCGGCCACACUGGGACUGAGAUACGGCCCAGACUCCGACGGGAGGCAGAAGUGGGGAAGAUUGCACGAUGGGCGGAGGCCUGAUGCAGCAACGCCGCGGGCGGGAUGACGGUCUUCUGGUUGAAAAACGCAUGCAGCAGGAGCGAAGCUUGUGGUGACGGUACCUGCAGAAGAAGCACCGGCUAACUACGUG
rnacentral:rRNA from 1 species